rnacentral:rRNA from 1 species
GACGAAGGGGGCUAGCGUUGUUCGGAAUUACUGGGCGUAAAGGGCGCGUAGGCGGUCCAUUAAGUCAGGCGUGAAAGCCCUGGGCUCAACCUGGGAGUGGCGCUUGAUACUGGCGGACUAGAGAGUGGGAGAGGUUGGUGGAAUUCCCAGUGUAGAGGUGAAAUUCGUAGAUAUUGGGAAGAACACCGGUGGCGAAGGCGGCCUUCUGGACAGUGACUGACGCUGAGACGCGGAAGCGUGGGGAGCAAACAGG